GUCAUGUUUGCCGCUGUCGGCACUCGGUUCUCGCUGCCGGUGUGCGGAAACCGGGCUUGCUGCUCAAGCCUGGGGUUGGGAGGCCGCCGUGCGAGAGAGGACGAUAGGUGACGGGCGAAGGGAGAGGAGCGGGCGGCGGAAGGAGCAGGCGCAACUGGGGAAGAAGACAAGAUCAUGUGUUUUUGUCCUCUCUUUCACGUUAUUCUAAUGAAGGUUUAUUUCCCACGGAGGCAUUCCCAAGGAAUCUGUCCUUAAACAUAUAACUUGACAAUAUGUUUGAACUUGGAAUUAUUGCAAUGAACAUGAAGGGAGAAACUGGAGCUGCUUCAUCAGUUCAGUUCACCUAUUGUGUCUGGUUAGAGGAAAAUGAUUCCAUUAGACAGUUAAUACAACCAGCUUUUCAAUCAUGAAAAUA
rnacentral:lncRNA from 1 species